AUGAGGGCCCCCGCUCAGCUUCUCAGCCUCUUGUUUCUCUGGCUCCUAGGAUCCAGUGGGGAUAUUAUGAUGACUCAGAUUCCACUCUCCCUGUCUGUCAUCCCUGGGAGCCGGCCUCCAUCUCCUGUAGGUCUAGUCAGAGUCUCCUACAUAGUAAUGGAGACAUCUAUUUGCAAUGGUUCCCACAGAACCCAGGCCAGUCUCCAAGGCACCUGAUCUAUAGGGUAUCCAAUCAGAACUCUGGGGUCCCAGACAGGUUCAGUGGCAGUGGGUCAGGGACAGAUUUCACACUCAAAAUCAGCAGGGUGGAGGCUGAGGAUGUUGGAGUUUAUUACUGCUCUCAAGGUACACAAAGUCCUCGGACGUUCGGUGCCGGGACCAAGCUGGAAAUCAAACGGGAUGAUGCUAAGCCAUCUGCCUUCAUCUUCCCACCGUCUUCUGAGGAGUUAAGCAGUGGAAGUGCCUCUGUCGUAUGCUUGGUGUAUGGCUUCUACCCCAGUGGAGCCACUAUCAACUGGAAAGUGGAUGGUCUUGCCAAAACAAGUAGCUUCCACAGCAGUCUGACGGAGCAGGACAGCAAGGACAACACCUACAGCCUCAGCAGCACCCUGACGCUGCCCAAAGCAGACUACGAAGCUCAUAAUGUCUAUGCCUGCGAGGUCUCCCACAAGACCCUGAGCUCCCCCCUGGUCAAGAGCUUCAAUAGGGAAGAUUGUUAGAGAGGCCGGCCCACCAGGCCCAUCGCCUGAGCCUCAGCCCCAGCCUCCCUUCUCCCUCAGGCCUUGGCCCGUUUCCGAGAGACCUACCCUCAUUGCAGUCCUCCAGCCCCUCUCCCCACUUCACCCCCCUCCCCCUCUUUGGCUUUAAUCAUGCUAAUAUUUGGGGGGAAAUGAAAAAAUAAAGUGAAUCUUUGCACCUGUGA